AUUGCUCAGGAUGAACGCUAGCGACAGGCUUAACACAUGCAAGUCGAGGGGCAGCGAGGGAGUGGCAACACUUCUGUCGGCGACCGGCGCACGGGUGAGUAACGCGUAUGCAACCUGCCCUUCACAGGGGGAUAACCGGGAGAAAUUCCGACUAAUACCGCAUACGUCCUUUGGGGGCAUCCCCUGGGGAUGUAAGAGUUAUCGUGAGAUGGCAUGCGUGAUAUUAGGUAGUUGGCGGGGCG
rnacentral:rRNA from 1 species